UUUUUCCAUUCAUCUGAUGAUGGACUUUUGGGUUGCUUCCACCUCUUGACUAUUGGCAUAGCCCCAUUUUUAAAAUAUUGCAAUUUAAUUUAACUCUUACCUUCUCAUUCCCUCUGGUGGAUUUAAUAAAUGCAAUAUCAUCUGUAAGGCACGUGUUCCAAUAAGGAAGAGAAUGUAGCAUGAGAAGAGAGUUGAAGGCAGAACCCUAGGGAACCCAGUUCUUUUAAGAUGCCAGGAAACUAAUAAGAAGGAGGACGAUAAGGAAGGAUCAGUGGGAAAGAAGAAGCCCCAGGGAUAGGAGCGCUUCCAAGAGGAAGAAGACAAAGGUCAGAAAGUACAAGGAGGCCAAGUAAGGUAUCAGAUGAUGAUGACGAUGAUGAUGAUGAUGAUGAUGAUGAUGAUGAUGAUGAUGAUGAUGGUGAUCAUAUCCAGAGAGAAGCAAAGUGAAUGUGUACCAUUGUGUCUUGAAUCCAGCUUGGCCAUAAGGAAAUGGGGCGAGACUUUGUCAUGUAUGUCGCUGAAGUUCAGCUAUGCAAAAAUGUUCACCUAUCCUUGAUCAACCAGUCCAGGAACCAUCAAAGAAGAAAAUGAGAUUCGACUUAGAAGACCUGUUCUUUAUAAACCCCUGCACAGCCCUAAUGAUCAACACCACUUCCAGUGCUCAUAAAUUACUGCUUCAAUAAUUGUUCUGCAAUUCUGCCUAUUCUCAUUGAAUGCUUCGUAUAAUCCCUUUAUUUACUUUGGGCUACGAUUCAUUUUUAUCAGUGAGUAUUGUACUUGUUUCAUCU
rnacentral:lncRNA from 10 species